rnacentral:rRNA from 1 species
UACGGAGGGUGCGAGCGUUGUCCGGAAUCAUUGGGCGUAAAGGGCGCGUAGGUGGCCCGGUCAGUUCGUGGUGAAAGCGCGGGGCUCAACCCUGCGUCGGCCAUGAAUACUGCCGCGGCUGGAGCACUGUAGAGGCAGGCGGAAUUCCGGGUGUAGCGGUGGAAUGCGUAGAGAUCCGGAAGAACACCGGAGGCGAAGGCGGCUUGCUGGGCGUGAUCGUGACGCUGAGGCGCGAAAGCGUGGGGAGCGAACAGG